AAUAAACAUCUCAUUUUCUCAUCCUCUUGUUGCUGCAACUAGCAUCGUACAAUUCCUUUCACAUUAUGCAUCUCAUCCACAUAAUCAUACAUAUUCAUGUAUGUGUCUAGCUUAAAACAAGUAGUAGGCAACAAAAGAGAGGAUGGUGGCACCAACGAAUGAACCGACAGCGUUGGCGCUGCUGUUAGGUCCUGGAGCUGGGGCAGGUACCUCAGCAGCAGCGACAGCGCUGACGGAGGCAGCAGCAAAUAGGACAGCACAAGCAACCUUCUUCAUCUCCAUUUUGUAUAGUAGGUAACACAAAGGAAUGAGAUAAGGUUUUUAAUACACUCUUUUUGUUUAAGAGAUAUUAUGCUGCUUGAGGAGAAAUGGUUGGGAACAAGAGGGUUAUAUAGUGGUGGAGGGUUUCAUUAUUUUUUAACAAUUAGUUGCUAUUUUUGGAAAAUUGUUUUGUUAUGGUUAUGUUUGUUAAGAUCUGGUUGUUGAUCCUAUUCUUGGGUGGGAAAUUGGGGUCACACAUUUUUUAGUUAGGACAAAAAAGUAUCUCAUCCACUAGUUUCACUAUUGAUGCUAAUUCAAGAACGGGAUAUUCUGUCCCUUGCUUUUCCUAUCUUAGUAUCUCAGACCAAUCAAUAUUUACAAAUAAAUGAAAAAUAAUUUUUCUAUUUAAUUUUAUUUUAUAAAAAUAAUUUAGUAAAUACACAUAUUUACAUAUAAGUGGUUGAGAUAUGAUUAGGGAUAUUAAUUUAGGAUAGGUGAUCUACUCCCUAAUUCCUAUGUAAUUUUAAGAGGCUAUUAGGUUAUUAAUAGCACAAAACAAAAUAAAAAGAAAAUAGUUCUUUGUUGGUCACAAGAGUAGUUGUUUGCUUUAAAUUUAAAUACUUUUCCUUGCAUUUAAAAAACUCUUUUAAUAGAUAAAAAAUACUUUGAAGAUAAUAUAUAAAUAAAAAAUUAAACGAAAACCAAAGGAAUCAAAUUAGAAAAACAAAAAAUGAUUUGAAUUUGGGUAUGUAGUGUAACCGAUUUGCUCCAUAGUCAUUUUUUUCAAAAAUAAAUAAUUUAAAUCCUUAAGCAUUUACCUUGAUUUUCUAAAAAAAUAUCUAUCCUUAUUUUUCCUAUUUUACCAAAGGGAUAUACAUAUUUCGGUUAAACAUGAAAAUUAUAUUUCUUAAUUUUAGUUUAAUUUUUUAAUAAGGAAAAUUUCAUAUCUUAAAGUUAUUUAGAUUUGUCACGAUUGAGUACUAUGAAGAAGUAGAAGUGUUCUACAAGGCCGUAUAUUUAAGGGUAGUUGUGUCAUACUUUGUGUCACUUCAUGUCCCAUAGACAUGUGAUUGGUCAGAAAAAAUAUAUUUAAGUUAAAAUUUAAUUAUUAAAUAUUUUUCUAACCAAUCGUAAGUUCAUGGUAUAUGGAGUGACACAAAAUAUGGGACAACAAAUGUACUCUUAUAUUUAAGCGCAUUUCUAUUUAGUAAGUUCCACCUCUUUAGUCAUGCAUUGAAAUUAUAUUGAGUUAUUGACUAUGUAAUGAAUCCUAGUGGCAAGGAAUUUUGGUUAGCAAUGAGAGUUAUGGUUCGUUAUGUGAAGAUUUUGAGAGGGUGAGAAUGUUAGGCACUAAGCUAUAUAUUACGUAUCUAUAUAAUCCUUUAAUCAUAACCUGUUUUUAUUACAAAUUAUUUAGGGCUAAUAUGUUUUUUUAUUCCAGAUACUUGAUUUUGUUAUUAGUAAUGAAGUUUUGUUAAAGGUAUUUUGCUUCUAAUGUUGGAAUCCCCCGAUUUUAAAGCUAAAGACAAGCUGUACACUAUUUUCAAAAUUACAAGGGACAACAUGCAAGUGCGGUUAAAUAAUCUUGAAGCAUCAUUCAUGAAAUUGAAAACGUGACUUAUAAUUUCUAGAAUUAAGGAAAUGUUUUACCAUAUAUUAUAAAAAGGAAAACAAGUGUGGAGAAAGGAUGGAAGUAAUUGUAUGAGAAAAUUAGGAGACAACACACAAUUGUUAAUACCUCUAAACAUGACUUCCAUUUCCAUAAUUAAUGGAAUACCUUACUAUAUGCCUCUAACAAUGUUAUACCGAGCAAAAAUCAGAAUGUGAGCAACUAUAUCUAAUAGGGAAUUUAAUUAAAAACUAAAAUUAUAAAAACAGAAAGUAAUAUUUUUAUAUGAUUUUGUGAAGUUUGAUUAACUAUGGACAUAUGAACAAGUUUUCUUGGGACAGAGAAUCUGUCAUCAUGUAAUUGGUUCUUCACAAACCAAAACUAGAAAAAUGGGUGAUUAUGGGGAGCAUGACCCAACAUUAUUUGUUCACUUAGUUUAGUCUGAUCAUGAUCGUGCUUAAAUAUGAUCGUGUUUCAUCGAUUCUAGGGUCGAGUUUGGGUUUCAAAUAUUAUACCUGAACAAUAUUUAGUGUCGAGUAUGAGACAAAUAUGACAUGUCUAUGAUCAUUCACUCGUCAUGUUUGCAUGAAUUUUUAUUCAAUUGUGUAUAGAGUAAUGACAUCUCUUGGUCAAAAAUAUUAUUGAUUAUCUAAAUCAUUAGAUUUUCAUAGAAUAAAUAACUAAAAUAUGAAAUAUAUUUUUUUAACUUUUUCUUAAAGUAAGUAAGUUCUCUUCUUUUUUAUUAUGGUUUUCUUAACCCCAUAUAGGGUUGAGGAUACUAAGAGUCAAACAAAUGAUGAAUGCACAAAACUAAAUAUUUAAUGUGUUUAAUAUAUAUGCGGCAAAGAUUUAUAUAUAGUUACUAUCUAACUAUCUGAUUUACCAUUUAUUUAAAUUAUUUUUUAAAUAAUUAAUAAUAAUUAAAUAUGAUUGAUGAAUUAUGUAAUAAUAAUAUAUAAAUUUCAUAUAGUGCCAAUUGCAUGUAUUCCCCCUCAUAUUUAAUACUUAUGAAAAGUUAGUAGAUUUAGUUUCUCAAUAUAUUUCACCAUUUUUUUUUACACUUAUCUACUGUCCUUAGGGUAACUAAGGUUAAAAAACUCCAUUAUUAGUGAUAGCAAAAUGAAAAAAUGUAUUAUCAAUGUAUUAACAGUGUAAAGAUAUAUACAAUUAGUAUAUUAUCCACCAUUUAUUUGUAUUAUUUUUACUUUAAUAAUCAAUAAUGAUGUAUGAUGUAUUAAUAAUAUUGCAUUAUUAGUAUAUAUAUAUAUAUAUAUAUAUACUCAACUCAAAUUAUAUAGUUUUUAUGUAAUUUGUUAAAGUCUCAGUAACGGUAAUCCAAGUUGCAACUAAAAAAUCCAUCAAUUGUUUCAUUUUUGUAUCCUAUUUGUAUUUUAAUUAACAUUUAAUUAAAAGAGAAUAAUAUUGAAAUGUAAUUAGUUUGAGAUAUAGAAACCAAAAUAUUUGGGAGAAGUGAUACUUCUGAAAAAAGAACCACAUUGUAAUUUAAAACUGCAUCGAGAAAGAUGAGGCUAUUGGCAUUGGUUGCGCUUGAGUCUAAUGGCACUCCUUAAUAUUCAUGAGAACAAGACAUAUAAAUAAGGCACUUGCAAUGAUCUCUAAUUAUCAAUGAUUUGGACAUUAUCAGGGUAUGUAGUCCAAGAUUAUCCAUUAAUUUUUCCACCUACUUCAACUUUUUAGACUAUGGUUAUGUCAUCCCGUACAAUUAAACUUACAUGGGGAUGUCUACAUAAAUUACAUGGUGGUGUCUGUCUUGUAAGUCAAUUUUUAUGAGUCUAAGUAUGAAAUGAGAUUGUUUUUUGUUUUUAUGAUAGAUCCUUUUAUAUUUUUGCUUUGUGGGUGCCAUCAUGUUUUUCUGAUUACCCUUACUAGUGACGGAUUUAGGAUUCGGAGGUAAGGUGUGCAAUAUAUGUUAGAAAUUCAAAUAAUAAAUAAAGAUGAAAAUAUUAAUGUUAAAAUUGCAAAAUUUAAAUAAUAGUUAAUCAAAUAAACUUCAUAUUUCAUAAUUAAUCUAUAUGUGAUUUCAAUUUUGAAAUCAUUGAAUGAUCAAUUCGUUGUCAAUAUUAUUGAAGACUUCUCGCUAAAUAUAAGUCACUAGACAAUCAAUCGUUCAUUCAUCUUCCAUUCGAUUACGAAACUUAUUUUUUUACAAUUUUCAUAGUUGAAAAAACUUUGUAUAGUUAUAUUGCUAACUUUAAAAGAAAAUAAACUAAUGGGUAAACAAUAUGUUUUCUACUUUCAACCAACUUAUCUUAAAAAUUAUUGAUUUCUUUUAAAGAAACAAAUUCAAUAUUGCUAUGGAUAUCAAUGAUAUAAGUCUCAAGUUGAUUAUUAAAAUCACCAUAUCACUUGAACUAAAAUCACGUGAAUAAAACUUUGCAAACUCAAUCAGUUUUAUCAUAUUAAAAUUAGAGAAGAAAUCAACUAGACUCGAACAAAACAUACAAAAAAACAAAUGGAUAUUUGUCUCACAGAAACAAUCAUGGAGUUCUGUAAGUUACAUAUCUAUAAUAUUAUAAAAUAAGUCAACAUGUUAAUGAAAUAUUUGUUUCUUAUGAAGCAUCACAUUUACAAAAAAAAAUUCAACUUGUAGAGUUAUAAACAAGAGUGUAGUAUCUAUGUGAGUGUAAAAUUUAUACACAGUAACUAUAUUAUUUACCAUUAAUUUGAAUUACUUUUAUUUUAAAGAUUAAAUAUGAAUAGUAGGGCAAUGUAUAAAACCUAUAUACUAUCAAAGAAUACAAUUUUCACUAUAAAUAAUAUGCAUAUUUUUUAUUUUAAAAAGUACAGGGUGUGCAUUUGCUCACCCUCACACAAACAUAGCACCGUCCCUUACCCUUACUAAUAGCUAUUUAAAGAGAGAAAAAUUCUAAUCUAAAAAUUAUGAGAACAAUAAAUUUGGGUUAUUUUUUAAUUUUAAAAGUUCAAUGAAGAUCUGAUGGUAUUUAUUAAACAUUAUCAUUUCUCACAAUAGCACAAUGUCUCUACCCUCACUUUUUACAAAUACAAUCACAACCUUAAUUAAAAAUCAUAAUAUUUGUAGUAUAAUAACCAUAAUUCAACAAAUUAAACAAAUGAAACAAAAAAUAACCCAACAUGUAAUAGUAAAUAAUGAACUAUAUUAAGCAAUAUAAAACCAUUACAUGCUUACAAAUUCAAUGUGGAAAGAAAGGCAACUUAGAAAAAAAGGCAAACCCAAAAGGGUAAAGAAAAAAAGAAAAAAAACAUCUCAUUUUCUCAUCCUCUUGUUGCUGCAACUGGCAUUGUACAAUUCCUUCCACAUUAUGCAUCUCAUCUUCACAUAUAUUUAUAUUGUGAACACUCAAUUUUGUUUGGCGUAAUGGAUAAGUCACAUGUGGAUGUCACACAUGCUUAAAACAAGUAGUAGGCAACAAUGGAGAGAACGGAGGCACCAACGAAUGAGCCAACAGUGGCAGCACCACUGCUAGGUCCUGGAGCUGGGGCAGGAGCCUCGGCGGCGGCAGCAACCGCGCUGAUGGAGGCGGCAGCGAAGAGGACGGCACAAGCAACCUUCUUCAUCUCCAUGGCGUAUAGUAGGUAACACAAAGGAAUGAGAUAAGGUUACUUGAUACGCUUUUAUUUGCUUUUAUUGUUUAAGAGAUAUUAUGCUGCCUGAUGAAAAAUGAGUUGGGAUCAUGAGGGUUUUAUAGUGGUGGAGGGUGAGAGUUUUUGGUUAAUUAGUUUUCUAAUUGUGAAAAUAUGUUGUUAUUUUUGGAAACUGGUUAUGUUUGGUACAACGUGGUUGUUGAUCCUAUUGUUGGGUGAGAGAGGGGUGACACAUUUUUAGUUAGGACCCAAGAAAAGAAAUACAUCAUCCAUAAUUUAACUAGUCAAGUGGGGAUGUUAUUCUUGGUGAUGGAUUUUUGGAGUUUUUUAAAUUGAUUCGUG
rnacentral:lncRNA from 1 species